UUUCCCCAAAAACCGGGUAGACCGAGGAAAUAUAUUCGUAAUACGCGUCACCGCAUCACUAUCUCACUUUCCAUAGUGAAAGACCUUUCGAAUAUUUAUGUAACUAAUAGUAAACCGACGUAAGUGUGCAUUUUAAUUAACCGUUAAUGGAACAACUUCAUCGUCUACGGGGAGAGAGAGAGAGAGAAAAAAAAAAAGAAAAAGAAAAAAAUCUCAUUACGUGUAUAAAUAAUCUUUUCGAAUUGUCACUUUCAGAAAAUUUCAACCGUGUCCAAUAACAAACAGGAUGUAUCUACUCAGUGGCGCCGACUAGACACUAGAAUAAGAGCGGGUUCUCAACCAUCGAAGGGACCAUGCUUAGGGCUGUUCUCAAUAUUUAAGAGAAAAGAAACGGUGAUUCGUUCGAAUAUUCGAGAAUUUUGGUGUGGAAGCAGGAUCGAGGAUUUUCCAUGCACGACCUUAGUGCCUGAAAUUGCCGAGUAUUUCUAUCGUUUCAUCCGUGAUGCGAGGAGAUAUGAUUACGCAACACGGCAUAUUAUACGUUGUCCCGCAACACCUCGCAGCUGUGCGUAUGUUAUUCGCGGUAAGGUUAAACUCCAGUGACAUUUUGGACGACUUUCACCCAAGGGGCCGACGUGGAGGCCUGCUUUCUUCGUCGUCUUUUCGUCUCGAGCAGUGGCGGCGGCGACGAGGAUCCAGGGACUGGACUUCCAAUUAAAUCGAUCGAACUCGAGCAUUCGAGAUGAACAAAGAAAAGUAAAAAGUAAAUAUCUAAAUAAGAUGAGGUAUGUGAACGUGUGUGGGUUUUCGAAAAAAGAUUUUAAGAAUGAAUAAACUUUUUCGAAAA